rnacentral:rRNA from 1 species
UGGAUAGUGGCGACGGGUGAGUAACACGUGGGCAAUCUGCCCUUCACUCUGGGACAAGCCCUGGAAACGGGGUCUAAUACCGGAUAACACUCUGUCCCGCAUGGGACGGGGUUAAAAGCUCCGGCGGUGAAGGAUGAGCCCGCGGCCUAUCAGCUUGUUGGUGGGGUAAUGGCCUACCAAGGCGACGACGGGUAGCCGGCCUGAGAGGGCGACCGGCCACACUGGGACUGAGACACGGCCCAGACUCCUACGGGAGGCAGCAGUGGGGAAUAUUGCACAAUGGGCGAAAGCCUGAUGCAGCGACGCCGCGUGAGGGAUGACGGCCUUCGGGUUGUAAACCUCUUUCAGCAGGGAAGAAGCGAAAGUGACGGUACCUGCAGAAGAAGCGCCGGCUAACUACGUGCCAGCAGCCGCGGUAAUACGUAGGGCGCAAGCGUUGUCCGGAAUUAUUGGGCGUAAAGAGCUCGUAGGCGGCUUGUCACGUCGGAUGUGAAAGCCCGGGGCUUAACCCCGGGUCUGCAUUCGAUACGGGCUAGCUAGAGUGUGGUAGGGGAGAUCGGAAUUCCUGGUGUAGCGGUGAAAUGCGCAGAUAUCAGGAGGAACACCGGUGGCGAAGGCGGAUCUCUGGGCCAUUACUGACGCUGAGGAGCGAAAGCGUGGGGAGCGAACAGGAUUAGAUACCCUGGUAGUCCACGCCGUAAACGUUGGGAACUAUGUGUUGGCGACAUUCCACGUCGUCGGUGCCGCAGCUAACGCAUUAAGUUCCCCGCCUGGGGAGUACGCGCAAGGCUAAAACUCAAAGGAUUGACGGGGGCCCGCACAAGCAGCGAGCAUGUGCUAAUCGACGCAA